ACAUACACAAGCCAUGACAGUUGACUCAAGGCUUAAAAAUCCUUCUUUAACCGGUCUCCUCCCCUUCAUCUACACAGAUUGAAGUGGAUUUAACAAGUGACAUCAAUAAGGGAUCAUAGCUUUCACCUGAGCCCUGUUUCAGAAAGCAGGUUUAACAAACUCUGAGUUGAAACCUUAACUCUGGGAUGACUAACUCUGAGCUGUCAAACUCAAGAGUUUUCGGGUUUCAGAACAGGUGAUAACAAUUAGUUCAAUCAACUCUGAGUUAAAUUAACCCUGAGUAAAGCGUGUGCAUGAGAUAAAACACCCUCAUCAAUGGAAUGCAGAUAGCAUGGUUCUUCAUGGCAACAGGAUAAAAAAAGGGCUCAAACCUCUUACUGCGCCCCAGUGGCGUUAGAAAUAUUUAUGAAAGAGUAUGCAGAAUAUGAGUAUAUAUUUAAGAAAAAAGCAAUACAGUACUAGCAGCAAAAGAAUGUGAGCUGGAAUUGCAGGAAAUUCCUGACCUAGUCCAUGUUUACUGAUGGUGUAAUCUGUCUGGAGCCUUCUGUCAUAACAGACCUCCAUGCAGUUGAGGAUGAUGAAGACAGCUUGUCAGCGGCCACAGAGAGGGAAGAUACAGAGGCCUAUUGAGAGCAAUGCCUGGAAAUUACAGUGAGGAAGAGGGUCCAUCCACCGACAGCACAACUUACCUAAGAUGUUCAGCAUUGGCCCAUGACUUACAAUGAUACUAAGUAGACCUGGCACUGUGAAAUUCAAUGUCAUUUGUUUUCCUAUAUCUCUCUGUGAAAAAGGUGUACUUAAAGAAACAAAUUGAAAAAUGUAAUUUAGAAAUUGACCACAAAGCUGCAGAUGCUAAAAAUACAACUGCUGGGACAUCAGUUAAAGGUGGGUGAGGUGCCCACAGGUGGAUGACUUUACUUGUUUGAACAACAUAAAAAAAAUAUUAACUACUGCAUUUGUACUUGCAGGAAAAAAAGAAUAUUUCAUAAUAAGAAAGGCAUAUUGUCUUUGACACUGCGGAGGUGAUGGUUCAAUCAGAAAUGGUAGCAUGUUGUCUCUUCCAUCUCGUGCAUCAGCAGGGUGGUCAGGCUCAUUCACUGGUUGAGUAUGACAUUGUUCUGCUCCAAUUGUGGCAAUGUUGUGGAGAAUCACACAUUCCACGAUAAUGUCAAAUGCUCAUUCUGGGGUGGCCCUGAGCCUAUGAAGGCACUGGAACCGGGCCUUGAGCAUCCCAAUGGUCAUCUCUACCCUGGCUCGUGUCCUGCAGUGAGCCAAGUUAUAAAGUUGUUGUGGGCCGGGCUCAGGGUAAGAGGUCAGCAAAUAGGGCUGGCAGGGGUACUCAAAGCUUUAUACUAAAUUAAGUGUUGCUUUGACUGAUAUCUGCAAUUAUGUGGAAUUCUUUGAGUCUUGUGGGUCUGUGACUUGGACUCCACAAAAGUGUACAGUGAACGUUUCAGCGCAAGAGACAUUUCUGACAGCACGACAGACUGUUGCCUUGGAAAUAUGCUCAGCGUCACCGACGUUAUAUAGAAAACUCACGUUGGCAAAUAAAAACAAAGUGCAACACAAAGAAUUUGUUCCGAACUGGGAGCAUGUCCACGACGUUUCAUGUGAAUGAUAUGAGGGCUGAGAAUAUUGUUCAGACGAAUGAUCGAUUGUGCAGAAACAGAAUCAGAGAAUGAUAACACAUCCAAGCGGGGUCUGAUCAUCCUCUCCUGAAAGAGAUUUCUGUGAAGUAUUUGUGCUUCUAUGUCAACUGGCUCUUCAAGAAAAGGACAUGCCAUGCCUGACACCUCCUUCAGGCUUCAACUAAAGAGGAGAAACUCAGGGUUAGUUGAAAACCUGCUCCCUGGCAGGUUAACUUCAUGGAGUAUGUUGCCAUAGUAACUGACUCCGAGUUAAGCUGAACUGGCUUUGUGAAACCAAAAACCCUGAGUUUCCUUCAACUCUGAGUCAACUGACUUGAGUUUUCACCAAACCCACUUUCUGAAACAGGGCCCUGGUCAGUCUGUCAUGGAAAGAGCAGGUGUUCAUAAUGUUUUGUACACUCAGUGAAUAGAUGCUCUAUAUAAAUAGAAAUAGGCCUAUGCCAGUGAUAGGAAACCCUGUUCCUGGAGAGCCACAGGGAAUGCAGGAUUUUGCUUUAAUGGACCAAGACCAGGUGUGUUGAGUUUAGUCAAUCAUUGAACUGACCACCUGAGCUAAUUGAUCAGUUCAGUGACUAAAUUCAACACACCUGGUCUUCCAGGUCGGUUGAAGCAAAAUCAGGCAUACCCUGCAGCUCUCCGGGAACUGGGUUGCCUACCCCUGGUCUACACAAUUUCAUUCAGAGGAUUAGGUGCAUUCAUUCGUUUUACAGCGUCAUCUAGUGGCAUAUAUGUAGGACCUUGUAGUUUAUUACUCUGUGAAUAAUUGAUGUAGAAAAUGGACGUAAGAUUGCUAAUCCUAUUGUCCUGAAUACGUUUUUUUUUUUUUUUUUUUGUAAACUGAAGGUAACAGAGUCCUCUCCAAGUAGGAGAACUCCUGGACAUAAAAUAAUUUCAA